rnacentral:rRNA from 1 species
AAAUUGAAGAGUUUGAUCAUGGCUCAGAUUGAACGCUGGCGGCAGGCCUAACACAUGCAAGUCGAACGGUAACAGGAAGAAGCUUGCUUCUUUGCUGACGAGUGGCGGACGGGUGAGUAAUGUCUGGGAAACUGCCUGAUGGAGGGGGAUAACUACUGGAAACGGUAGCUAAUACCGCAUAACGUCGCAAGACCAAAGAGGGGGACCUUCGGGCCUCUUGCCAUCGGAUGUGCCCAGAUGGGAUUAGCUAGUAGGUGGGGUAACGGCUCACCUAGGCGACGAUCCCUAGCUGGUCUGAGAGGAUGACCAGCCACACUGGAACUGAGACACGGUCCAGACUCCUACGGGAGGCAGCAGUGGGGAAUAUUGCACAAUGGGCGCAAGCCUGAUGCAGCCAUGCCGCGUGUAUGAAGAAGGCCUUCGGGUUGUAAAGUACUUUCAGCGGGGAGGAAGGGAGUAAAGUUAAUACCUUUGCUCAUUGACGUUACCCGCAGAAG